rnacentral:rRNA from 1 species
GUGAGUAACACGUAAGCAACCUGCCUAUCAGAGGGGAACAACAGUUAGAAAUGACUGCUAAUACCGCAUAUGCCUUAGAAUCACAUGGUUCAAAAGGGAAAGGAGCAAUCCGCUGAUAGAUGGGCUUGCGUCUGAUUAGCUAGUUGGUGGGGUAACGGCCUACCAAGGCGACGAUCAGUAGCCGAACUGAGAGGUUGAACGGCCACAUUGGGACUGAGAUACGGCCCAGACUCCUACGGGAGGCAGCAGUCGGGAAUAUUGCGCAAUGGAGGAAACUCUGACGCAGUGACGCCGCGUGCAGGAAGAAGGUUUUCGGAUUGUAAACUGCUUUAGACAGGGAAGAACAAAGACAGUACCUGUAGAAUAAGCUCCGGCUAACUACGUGCCAGCAGCCGCGGUAAUACGUAGGGAGCGAGCGUUAUCCGGAUUUAUUGGGUGUAAAGGGUGCGUAGACGGGAAG